rnacentral:lncRNA from 1 species
GGAAAAAUGGAAUGAAGCCAAUUCACCAAUCAUCAAAAGAAAGUCACUGAAAACCAAUUUGUUGACCUAUGUAUUGUUGGUGUCAGAGGAAAAGGGGUCAAGGGAGGAAAGCUGAAAAGUGCUGGUGAGUGAGUGGAGAGUUAAAAGGAAGGUGAAUGAAACAACUCAUUUACUUUGAACUUCUUGAAAGACUAACCAGGAAGAUCCGGAUAAAGACACUGUCUGCACUCUACUCAGAUGCCCUUUGAGUCUAUGCGCUGUUUCUGGGCUCAUCCUCCAGCCUCAACGUGUUUGCUACAUUCGAACAGGGAAUUACUCCUCCCAAGAAUAUUCUUCCAAGGAAAUCCCUGAAAAACCAGAUGGCAGAAGUUACUCAGAAGAAAUGAAAGGAUUUUCCAUUAUUCAAAUAGGAGGUGGAAGAGGAAGUGUGGGAGUAAUUACUGGAUUAAGAUCACUGAAAGACAAGAUUGUCUUUAAGGAAACAGAAGACUGAGAAGAAAAGAAGCUUGCUCAAGGUCACAUAGAGCUGGAAUUUAAAUUCAGAUCUAUUAUACUCUUAAGGACUGUGGAAGGCAAAUGGAUUCCUGUUUCUUAGCUGAGCACAAGGUUGCCCAGUAAAAGAAUUACAUAUAUCCACCUAUUUUGCAUCUUUAUGGGCCAUAUGAAUAGUUCUGACAAAUUACAUAAACAAGAAAUAUUGAGUGGAGCCCCUGGUAAGUGCUACUCAAAAAAGGGGAACGUUUCUUUCUUACUCCCUUCAUUUAGUUGGUUGCUUGGAAUGUUGGUGUCAUGCUAAGGGGUCCAGCAAUCAUGGUAGGCCCUAGAAGAUGGAUACUACAUUCCUAACAUUACAAGGACCUUGAAGAAGUUAUACAUCUUUCCCCUAUUUUCUCCAUCCUCAGUGAAGGGGUUAGAUUGAAUAAGAAAGAAGAGGGCUCCAAUAGAAAUUUUGAAGUGUGUAUAAUGGUGAAAUAUUGAAGAAGAAAAUAAGAGCCUUUCUUCCAUUUUUCUGACCAAAUAAUGAUGGCACUUCCUGUCUUCUUUCACAGUGGGAAAGAUAAUAUAAACUAUUAAAAAUAUAUAAUUCUAGAUCUUACUCUGUAACCUAUUAUUAAAUUUUUGAAGGUAGCAUUUUCACUUUUCUCACCUGUAUGUUUCUCCAUGGUGUCUAGCAGAGGCCAUGUCAAAUUGCAGAAACUUAUCUAUUCUCCGUGACCAUGACUCCUGGCCAUAACUGAGUGGAUGGUGGAUAGGACACCCGAGCCAAGUUGGUGCAAUCAUAUUGGCUCUUUCAGGAUCUUGGAAUUGGGAUUUAGAGACCUGUGACUUAUAUGAGUAUACUCGGGAGUUAUAAGGCAAUGGCUGUCUUGUAUGUACAUAGGCAGAGACAACAGGUAUGGAGAGAGAGAAUGAUAAAGCAGCCAUAUAGAAGAAAGACAGACCGUGUGUUCCUUGAGAGAGAGAGUGUGUAAGAGAGAAAGGUAGAGGUAGGUUGGGAGAGAGUAACAGAGAGAGAGAGAAAGAGAGAGAGAAAAUGAUAAAAGAGUAGCUACUUGGAUUUUUGAUCUGUCUCCAGGCCUUCUGAGGCCUGCUUCCAUUUCCACAUACCAUCACUCAAGAUAAUCUCUGUGAUGAGUCUUUGUAACUUGCACACCAAAAAAAAAAAAAAAAAAAAAAAAAAAAGUCUUCAUGCAUGAUAAAUUAUUCCGUGCAGUUCCACAGAGAUCUUCUAAGGGAAAGAAAAUAUAAGUCCACUUAACCCAAUCUCAGAAUGGCCUUAUUUUAGUUUUGUGAUGGUUGCUAGUGGUCCAGAGUAUUUUUCAGGUUCCAAGGGAGACAUGGAGAUGUGGGACUAUUCAAACAGCUGGAACUUGAGGAUGUACUUGGGGCUAUAGUUAGAGGUGAUGAUAGAAGUGAAAAAAGUGAAUAAGAUGCUCAACUUUUAAUUUUACAAGCUCAAACACUCAAGAAACCAAAGCAUCGUGAAUGGAAAAGAAAAGAUAGGGUACAUUUCUAACUUUAAAAUAAUUAUAAUCUAGGUAGAGAAAAGUAAAAUAUACACAUAUGCACCCAGAACUAAAUGAGUGCUACAGAUUAUAAGCAUUAUAAGAUAUAAAGAAGAUAGCUAUUAUUGCUGGGCUAUUGUUUUCAGGUAUUAAUAACGUCAGGUUUGGUUUAGGCUAUAAAGGACAACUUUGCUCUCACAAUGGAAAAUGUAGUGACUUGAGGUCAGCUUUUCUACUGACUAGAUAUGUGACUGUGAUCAGUCACUUUACCUUUCCAAUUUCACAGCAGUUUCCUCCUCUGUAAAAUGAGGGCUGUGUAUUGGAUUCAUUAAUUCAUUCAAAACAUAAACUUUCAGUGCCCACUGUAAUGUAUAGAACUAGGAAUACUGCAUAAAUACCAGUCUUCUAAAAAGACUGUCACUCUGAUGUGUCUAUGAACAAAAGACAGUGGGAGGCAACUAAGCUGCCUACAGGUAAAGAAAAACUCCAUUGAGACCAUGUUUGGAUGAAUAGGAGUUGUUAGGUGAAUCCGAUAAUGAUGGAACCUUCCGGAGAAAGGGUUGCAUAGAUCAUUGCAAAUGUUUCUUGUAGCAUUAAUAUUUUUAUUUGCUUCUGCUUUGUUUAGAGGAGGAGGAAGGGAGUGAACAAAUGUUGGGUAGGAGUUAAGCGUAUGAAUUGAAGAGAAGAUAGAAGGAAAUAAUUUCCUGGGCUUCUUCAAACCCCUAAAAUGUAUUCAAAGUGAAUUCCAUGAAGGAAAAUACAUGAAAAAGCAGAUAAUUAAAACCUCCUUUGCCUCCUCUGUAUUUCUGUCUUGUAUAAGAUCUUAGAGAUACUGCAAAAAUGAUAUAAUAGGAUUCAUGUCCCUCAUAGACGUUUAGGACUCCCAUCCAGAGGCAGUGUGUGGAGUGCUUAAGAAUUUGAGUUUUGAAGACAGAUCACAUGCUAGCUAACACCACCACCUACUAGUUGUAAGAUCUUUAAAAAGUUUAAACUUUUUUGUGCCUUUGCCUUCUCAUCUGUAAAAUGGAGAUGAUAACAAUAGCUACUUCCUAUGGUGAGAAUUAAAUGUAUUAAACAUAUAAAGUGCCUAGAACCAGCACAUAAAAGCACACUGGCAUUUAAAAAUAAUAGCAUAUUAGUUAUUAUUACCUAUUAUUCCAUAGAGAGUUCACCACCGAGGUGAGGUAAUGGCAAUAUGCCUCCCUACAUUAGUGAGUAACCUGAGGGUGCUUCCCUGUGCCUGGUCUUCAAUAGGGAUGGCUUAGAAUUUGCUUAUUUAGUCAUGAUACAAAAGUAUGUCCAAUGAGGCCCUAUUUCAGGCACGGUGAACUAUAUGAAAGGAGAAAUAAAUAAACCGUGAAGUACAAUAUUCCAACACAAGGCAGUACAUUUUAAAUAUAAAACAAAUAUUUAGGAGCUCAGAGGAGGCAGAUGUGACAGCUGCCUGAAACAUCAGGGGACACUUCUUGGGUGGCAUGGGAAGUGUACAAUGACAGACAUCAUUUCAGGGAUUUAAGUCAGGAUUUGCCUCAGCUGGUUUGUGCACCCUCUUUGCAUUCACAAGCCUUUCUUUCGUCUCGCCUGAGCUUUUAGAGCAAAAUCUGAUCCAGAGACUGUGGAUGCUGGAGGAGCGUCAAGGCUGGGAAAGUAACAUGCACUGUGUUCGCAAUCAACAGAAAAGAUAUUUUUAAACAAAAACAAUUUUCCAAGUUUCCAGGAAGAGAAACAAAAGGCUUUUCUAAAAUGAAAGAAACUGUUCUUCUCAUUCUGUGACUUUUAUGUCACUUGGACAACAAGCCAGUGCUUAGGAACGGUUAUUUUCCUGUCGACAUCGCUGCAUGGAUACUUCUUAGAAGAACAUAACAGCAUUAGCACUCAGUCCCAGGUUCUGCUCACCCUCCAAUGGCAGUCGUCUUCAAAAACAAUAAAGAUAUCUGUGCUUGGUCUCUCUGUCUUGAUUACACUGCAGGCACAACCUGUGUGGGGAAACAAUAUCCUGGAUCAUACUGAAGGUUCGCACAGAUGGAACAUUAGUGGGAGGGGUUGCCAGCUACUUCCCUGCCAACUUGUUAGUGCUGGAGACAUUAUCCUCUUAUUUUGCCAGUUUAACAGAAGAUCAGUCGUAAAGAUUCACUGUAGGCUCAGCAACAUAAUUAUUAUCUAUGGUCUCUGCAUUAACUGUGAGAAAACAUCAUAGUCUGAAUCUGCCUAAUUUCAAAUGCCAAGCUGUGCCCACAUUCAGCCCACAACUGAACCUGAAUACUCAAUAUAUCCUUAGCAUUGCUACUGUUGUCAUCAUGGUGGAUGUUAAGUACAGGUUUGCCCAAGCUAUGAUGUUUAAUUGUUGCCUUACUGCUUCUGUAUUUCUUCUGUUUCCCUGACCCUUUUCAACACCAGCCCCAUGCAAUUUAAAACUAUUAAAAAGGUAAAAAUCGGUGUCACAUUUAGUUCUGCUACUCAGUACAGAAGUGCCAAGCCCCUGCAAAUCUGGAAAACAAACUCCUUAACAGAUGGGCCACAUAAAGUUUACAACAUGUGCAAUGUGGGAGGUAGUAUGGCUCUGGGCAAGAAACAGAAGACUGGAAGUUUGGGAGCUCAGGGUUUUUGAAUUUGCUUUUGCUUUUUG